rnacentral:rRNA from 1 species
UACGUAGGGGGCAAGCGUUGUCCGGAAUCAUUGGGCGUAAAGCGCGUGUAGGCGGCUCGGUAAGUCUGCUGUGAAAGUCCAGGGCUCAACCCUGGGAUGCCGGUGGAUACUGUCGAGCUCGAGUCCGGAAGAGGCGAGUGGAAUUCCUGGUGUAGCGGUGAAAUGCGCAGAUAUCAGGAGGAACACCAAUGGCGAAGGCAGCUCGCUGGGACGUGACUGACGCUGAGACGCGAAAGCUGGGGGAGCAAACAGG